UUCUUAUCAUGAGAGGCGGAGGGAAAUGGCCCAACGAAACCUCGGCAACAGGUUCUUAUUAGAAUACUGUGCCAAUUCCAUCAAGCAAAUUGCUUGAAAGAUAAGAG
rnacentral:ncRNA from 2 species